UAAAUAGCCCAGUUAGCUUUGGCUGACUGCUGGCUUCUUAGAGGGACUAUCGGCUCAAGCCGAUGGAAGUUUGAGGCAAUAACAGGUCUGUGAUGCCCUUAGAUGUUCUGGGCCGCACGCGGUAAGUUUUCUGAACUUCUACAAAGAAUUCGUCCAUACUAACUGUGUUAAUAGCGCUACACUGACAGAGCCAACGAGUUCAUUCCUUGGCCGGAAGGUCUG
rnacentral:rRNA from 1 species